GCAGUCCUUGGCGCAGCGGUUUGCGCGUUUGGUUAUCAACCCAAAGACAGUGGGUUCGAAAUCGGUCGGAGUCUCAAUUAUCGUUAUUAUUUUAUUUUUGUAAAAAAAAAUAUUAUAAGUGGUUCAUACGUAAAUUUUGAGAAUCAGAAUAAACAAAUACUUCUUGCAACACAAUUCCAGGCAGUUACGUCGUUUCUGUUCAGGAUGGUGGGGGUGUGGCGUGCGGCGCCAAAAUUCCCUUUUCGCCAUGCAGCCCAGAACAGAUGUUGUGUUUCCCGGGUCUCAGGCAUCGUUGAUUUAUUUAUUAACACUCAUAUUUUGUCCAAAAAGCGUAAAAAGGGUGAAGAAUUAGGACAAACUUUUUCUGGGGCUUUAUUCUGGGCCAAAAUAAAGUCUGUCGUAAUCAUCCACCUUCUUUUUACGCCUUUGGGGACAAUAUAUGAGUGUUACAUUACAAAUCAACUAUACCUGAUGAGAUCAGAAAGACGCAUUCUGACAGGAGGAAUGCACCUUGUCGCCAAACUUUAUUGACAAGUCAAAACAGAACAAAAAUCGUCUUCAGCAUGAAAACAAAUGUUGUGCGCCAUCUAGUAUUCAUACAUUGCAUAGGUUUUCAUCUAAACAACUUGUUCUUUUCCCCCCAAACCAGUAUUCAAAUCUCAUAUAAUUUAGCUGAAUAUGAAUUAACAAAUAAAAAAAAAAAUUCUUACAUCAUUUCAAACUCAUAAAAUGGCGCUUACAAGCAGCUUCCUCCUAACAUUGUGCCAAUAACAUAAUGUGUAUAACAUUAAAGUCUUUUUCAAUGGAACACUUUUUAAGGCAAAUGUUGUGAUACUAAAAGAUGUGUACUCUUAACUAGGAGUCAGUUCUGGAUGGAUCUCUUUGGUGACUUGAGGGAGCGGCAUCUCUUCAAUGGCAGCUAUCUGCAUAUCUGUUUAGUCAGAUUCUGCUUCCUUGAUGUCCUGCAGAAAGAACUCGAUGAAUACAAGCAGAUCUGGAACACUCAUACCAUUCGCCCCGUUCGUCAGUCCCAGUGCCCAUCUGACAAACCCGAAGCGAUGGACCACGUGCCUCACAGGUUUGAUGGAAGGAAUUGUGGCUUCCCAACAUCUGCAGAGGCCAUUACACUGUUCAGCAGCCAGAUGCCACCUGCAACUACUCUGGACUCUGACGAAGAAGAUCUUGAAGCUCACUUUUCUCAGCUGCAGAGACAAAGUGGAUUGCCAACUCCUCUCGACUGGGAAGCUGCUACUGAAAACUACAUUAAACUUAAGAACAUGGCCAAUCUUUAAUGGCAUACUUAAGAUGAGUUGAAGCUGGACUGCCCUGAUAUGUAGCUGACCAGAUCCUUUGAGAGGAAAUUUGGACCAGGUCCACCAUGCACGAUGGACACAGAUAUCAUCUUCCCUGCCAAACUGUAUUCGUUCUCUCUUACAGCUGCUCGUAGAAAUUCAGAAUAAUUGUUAAUUAAUCUACAAUAAAUACAUAUAAAUUACA